rnacentral:lncRNA from 1 species
AUAUAUAUAUAUAUAUAUAUAUAUAAAACUCAUUUUUGUAACUCCUUUUCCUGGCAGACAAAUUUUGACUAUCAUUGUGACCAUCAUUGGUGACCAGCUACAAUAAGAAUCAAGGGUACAUUGUAAACAUUUGUGUAAUUGUAGAAAAAAGCAAUGAGAGUUCUUAUACCGAUUACUCUUAACUACAUGCUUACAUAUGAUCUAGUCACUGAGUAAUAAUUUUUUUAAAUAUUCAAUUAUUUUCCAAUCACCCUUAAUUAACCCAUACAAUCAGCCUCAAAGCCCAGCACCAUAACCAAAUGAGUAAAUGAAAGUGAGUUAAAUUGUUCCACUUUCCUUUCAUACUCCUAUUUAUAACUUCUUUGAGACUGCCCUUCUUUUAACUUCUACCUGUUUGUAGGAAAGUUCUGGUUGCUUAAGUGACUUUGUGUGUGUGUGUGUGUGUGUGUGUGUGUGUACGUACGCACGCGCGCACAUGCUUGUGCACCCAGUGUUGUACAUAUUGUGUCUGUACUUCCCAGAAAGACUCCAGUGAGAGGGGCCUGGAGAGUCUCCUGGAGGAUUCCCUAUCUUUGUUUUCUUUUUUCUUUCUAUGGGCUCUGAUCUCCCCUGCAGGGAGCUAGUCUUCUGUGUAACAGGGCCCAAAUCAGGGUGCAGCUGCUUUUCUUAUUCAUUCUUACUGGCCUGCAGUCCUCUUUAAGUUGAGAAAAGGAGUGGAUUUUGGGAAAUGGAGGAACAGGACAGAGGAAACCAUUUACUGGGACACAGGAACCAGUGAACAUCUCUGCAUCUCUGCAUCUAUCUCAUCUUUGAUAACAACAUCUGAGCAUUUCCCAGCUUCAAAGAAGAUACUGAUCCUCAGGUUCCUCUGAGGGAUCUACAGUGAUCUUCAUCCACUAACACAGCACAGACUGAGAAGACCUCAACAGGUGAACAGAUAGCCUCACCUGAGAGGUGCAGCCCCCAAAGUAGGAUGUGAUGGCAGUUCUAUAAAUAAAGACUGGAUUUCUAUCUAGGAAAACAUGGCCAUCAGGAAGUUGGCUACAGGGCUCUUGGUCAAUAGUCAAUAGUCUUGUAAAUAGUCUCCUGCCUAUUUCUCUUCUCUACUUUUCCCAUAGAGAAUUAAAGAAGUCAGUUACCUCUACAUGGUGCUUUCAUGGACUCUAAAGAAAAGGCUACUCUCUUAGAAAUGUAUAUGUGAGUGAUAGAAAAAUACAUACUUACACAAAACUAAACAUACCAAAGACCAUGCAUAUCUGAGAGGUAGAGUAGAUUUGCCUAUUAACUGAUUAGCUUGGGUUCAUAAGACUAGCUUAUGCAUCAUCCAGUAGAGCCCUGGAGAAAUAUUAUAAGGGCAAGAAUGUUUUAGUUAAAGAGAGAAUUACAGAAAUUCCCACGAGUGCAGCAGUCCAGGGUCAGCUCAUAAGAGGAAACCCCAGGAGCAGCCUGAAGGACAGACAACAGAAGAAAGAGGAGCAUCAACAGGAAAUAAGAGAAAGAAACUUACGGGAGAAUUUUAACUGAUUUCACUACUUUGUCUAGCUUCAAGUCACCCUUCCUUUGCUGGCGAGUUCAUAAUGCUUCUGAAUACACAGUAACUUAUCAAAUUCAAACCCUUCCUGCCUCCGACAUCCUAUGUUUAUAGAACUGACAUUACUUGCCAGAUGUUUCCCUAGUGAACCCCGCCAUCUUAGUCAUGCAUAGCAUGUUGAGUUGUGCCUCCUUGCUUCAGCUUGAGGCAUUUCCUCCUCAACUUUUGUUGACCUUCUCCCUUCCAUACCUACUCAUAAAAGCCUUCAGUAAGACUUAGGUUAUCUGCAAACUUCUCAUCCUAACAUCACCCCAUUCAAACUUCUCUUUAGUUUGAACCCCUAAAUCCAGGCCCAUCAGUGGACUCAAUAUGUUCCAUGUACUCUGUGGUUUUGCUUACUUAAUCUAUAACCAAACAUUCCAGUUUUCUAAAUUUCCAGAGUUAUCCUUGACACACAUAAAAAAUAAUAUUCUGCUCCUCAGCCAGUGUAAUUGCAUGAAUUUCAUUUCUCUCCCUGGUAUUUUCCAAAUCCCUAGAAGUAUGUUCCAGAAAUCUCUUCCUUGUUGCUGUUUUCCAACCCUCAUUCUAGGUCACUGCAUGUGCAUGUCCCUUAUUGCCCCCUGUUCCUCAUAUAUUUCUCCACCAUGUGGUGGCUUUCUCUGAUUUGUUUUACCCCAAAGCUUAAACAGUUUUCUUCCUUUAUUAACAAAGACACAACUAACAAGGCUAUUGCUUUCAGUGAAAUUGGAUCAAUUUUUUUGAGCAUUCACUUUCGCCAGGUACUCUGUUAAAUGUUGUUCAGAUCUUUCUUUCACUAGCAACAUUAUGAGGUGGGCACAAUUAUUUUCUUCACUUUAGAGAUAAGUCAACAGAAACUCUGAGAGGUUGGGUAAUUUACCAAAAGUCAUACUUGAAUAAGCAGUAGAGUUGGUAUUUAUAUUAUAUUUUCAUUAUCAUUCCAUUUAAAAUAUUGUCUAA